ACGUACUGUGCGAACGUUAUUCGGAAUCACUGGGCUUAAAGGGUGCGUAGGCGGCGAUUCAAGUCAGAUGUGAAAUGCCUGAGCUCAACUGAGGCAUUGCGUUUGAAACUGAUUUGCUAGAGUAUUUCAGGGGUGUGCGGAACUGCCAGUGGAGCGGUGAAAUGUGUUGAUAUUGGCAGGAACACCGGAGGCGAAAGCGGCACACUGGGGAAUAACUGACGCUGAGGCACGAAAGCCAGGGGAGCGAACGGGAUUAGAUACCCCGGUAGUCCUGGCUGUAAACGAUGAGCACUGGGCGGGAGGGGGUUUCCCCUUUCUGCCGUAGCGAAAGCGUUAAGUGCUCCGCCUGGGGAGUAUGGUCGCAAGGCUG
rnacentral:rRNA from 1 species